rnacentral:rRNA from 1 species
UAGAGUUUGAUCCUGGCUCAGAAUGAACGCUGGCGGCGUGCUUAACACAUGCAAGUCGAGCGAGGCCAGGGGGGCAACUCCCUGAGUCGAGCGGCGGACGGGUGAGUAACACGUGGGUAACCUGCCCGGAAGUGGGGAAUACCUCGGGGAAACUCGAGCUAAUUCCGCAUGACAUCUUUGGGACGAGAGUCCCGACGAUCAAAGCGGGGUCGCAAGAUCUCGCGCUACCGGAUGGGCCCGCGCCCGAUUAGCUAGUUGGCGAGGUAACGGCUCACCAAGGCUUCGAUCGGUAACCGGCCUGAGAGGGCGAUCGGUCACACCGGAACUGAGACACGGUCCGGACUCCUACGGGAGGCAGCAGUGGGGAAUCUUGCGCAAUGGGCGAAAGCCUGACGCAGCAACGCCGCGUGGAGGAUGAAGGCCCUUGGGUUGUAAACCCCUGUCGGCUGGGAAGAAAUCGUUCGCGGCUAAUACCCGCGGACGUUGACUGUACCAGCAAAGGAAGCCCCGGCUAACUCUGUGCCAGCAGCCGCGGUAAUACA